rnacentral:rRNA from 1 species
CCUACGGGAGGCAGCAGUGGGGGAUAUUGCACAAUGGGGGAAACCCUGAUGCAGCGACGCCGCGUGUGGGAAGACGGUCCUCUGGAUUGUAAACCACUGUCCCCAGGGACGAAGAUGACGGUACCUGGGGAGGAAGCUCCGGCUAACUACGUGCCAGCAGCCUCGGUACUACGUAGGGAGCGAGCGUUGUCCGGAAUUACUGGGUGUAAAGGGAGCGUAGGCGGGACUGCAAGUUGGGUGUCAAAUCUACCGGCUCAACCGGUAGCCGCACUCAAAACUGCAGUUCUUGAGUGAAGUAGAGGCAGGCGGAAUUCCUAGUGUAGCGGUGAAAUGCGUAGAUAUUAGGAGGAACACCAGUGGCGAAGGCGGCCUGCUGGGCUUUGACUGACGCUGAGGCUCGAAAGUGUGGGGAGCAAACAGGAUUAGAUACCCUGGUAGUC